AUUGAACGCUGGCGGCAGGCCUAACACAUGCAAGUCGAGCGGAUGAAGGGAGCUUGCUCCUGGAUUCAGCGGCGGACGGGUGAGUAAUGCCUAGGAAUCUGCCUGGUAGUGGGGGAUAACGUCCGGAAACGGGCGCUAAUACCGCAUACGUCCUGAGGGAGAAAGUGGGGGAUCUUCGGACCUCACGCUAUCAGAUGAGCCUAGGUCGGAUUAGCUAGUUGGUGGGGUAAAGGCCUACCAAGGCGACGAUCCGUAACUGGUCUGAGAGGAUGAUCAGUCACACUGGAACUGAGACACGGUCCAGACUCCUACGGGAGGCAGCAGUGGGGAAGAUUGGAAGAUGGGCGAAAGCCUGAUCCAGCCAUGCCGCGUGGGUGAAGAAGGGCUGCGGAUUGGAAAGCACUUUAAGUUGGGAGGAAGGGCAGUAAGUUAAAACCUUGCUGUUUUGACGUUACCAACAGAAUAAGCACCGGCUAACUUCGU
rnacentral:rRNA from 1 species